rnacentral:rRNA from 1 species
UAUACCGCCGUCGGCAGCUUACCCUAUGAAGGCCUUACAGUAAGCAAAAUGGGUACCACCCAAAACGUCAGGUCGAGGUGUAGCGUAUGAAGUAGAAAGAAAUGGGCUACAUUACCUAAAAUAGGUUACUACGGAAGGUGAUUCUGAAACAGAUAACCAGAAGGCGGAUUUAGCAGUAAAGAAGAAAUAGAAAAUCCUCUUGAAGACGGCUCUGAAGCGCGUACACACCGCCCGUCACUCUCCCCGACAACUAAAAUAAAAGUAAAUAACACCUUACAAAAUAAUAAGGGGAGGUAAGUCGUAACAUGGUAAGUGUACCGGAAGGUGCACUUGGAACAAC